GAGUAGUAAUAGUUAAGGGCUUGAAACUUAAAGAAUUUGGCGGUAUUUUAAUCUAUUCAGAGGAACCUGUUCUGUAAUCGAUAAUCCACGAGGACUUUACUUAAAUUUGUAGUGCAAUUUGUAUACCGCUGUUAUAGAUUAUUUUAUAAGGAAAAUAAUUUUCUUAAUUUUAGAAAAAUAUAUCAAGUCAAGGUGCAGUUUAUAUUUAAGGAAGAAAUGGGUUACAAUAAAUUUAUUUAUACGGAUAAUAAAUUGAAAUAUUUAUUUGAAAGCGGAUUUGAUAGUAAAAUUAUAAAUUUAGUUAAUUUGAUUUUAGCUCUAAAAUAUGU
rnacentral:rRNA from 1 species